AUUGAACGCUGGCGGCAGGCCUAACACAUGCAAGUCGAACGGUAGCACAGAGAGCUUGCUCUCGGGUGACGAGUGGCGGACGGGUGAGUAAUGUCUGGGAAACUGCCUGAUGGAGGGGGAUAACUACUGGAAACGGUAGCUAAUACCGCAUAACGUCGCAAGACCAAAGAGGGGGACCUUCGGGCCUCUUGCCAUCAGAUGUGCCCAGAUGGGAUUAGCUAGUAGGUGGGGUAACGGCUCACCUAGGCGACGAUCCCUAGCUGGUCUGAGAGGAUGACCAGCCACACUGGAACUGAGACACGGUCCAGACUCCUACGGGAGGCAGCAGUGGGGAAUAUUGCACAAUGGGCGCAAGCCUGAUGCAGCCAUGCCGCGUGUAUGAAGAAGGCCUUCGGGUUGUAAAGUACUUUCAGCGGGGAGGAAGGCGAUACGGUUAAUAACCGUGUUGAUUGACGUUACCCGCAGAAGAAGCACUGGCUAACUCUGUGCCAGCCGCCGCGGUAAAAC
rnacentral:rRNA from 1 species